UUGCUCGGGAAGAUUUUAGCCCAUUUCGACUUUUGGGCUAGAUUUCUCAAAAACCGUGAAUCCCACGAGGAAACCAAGGCCACCAGCACGCUCCAUUCGUCGAGAGCUUCGCAACGACAUAAAUUUCGAAUUUUUCCGACACCGUUUUUCGGUAUCCUCGAUUCGCGGAAAUUCGACAGUUGACCGGGUCUGCAAAUUUCGGGCCAGACAGACCCGUGACCGGAAAAGUCUCCGAAUUGGGCCGAGGUUUUGGCUAGCCCCCCAUUGUCAGACGUCCCGAGCGCGUCCCCGAAGUCGGAAUCGGCAAAGGUGAGCCGGGACAGCCUUCUUCCUCCGCCCAGCCGCCACAGUAAUUUGUCGUCAAGUCUGCUACAGGAGGAUUUUAUUUUGGUUAACCUGCUUUUCUCCCUCGCAGGUCAAUUAUUACUGUUUGUAUAAACUUGUUAAAUCUUAGAAUUUCCGCAUGUGUUAGAAAUGUUAUUUGAUUUGGGUCUGUAAACUAAAUUAUUAUUUUGGGACCUGUAAACUUAAUAUGCUAUGCAUGUUUGAUGGAUUGGAUGAGGGAGCUGAGCUCCCAUUUAUUAUUA